AUUGAACGCUGGCGGCAUGCCUUACACAUGCAAGUCGAACGGCAGCAUGGGUGCUUGCACCUGAUGGCGAGUGGCGAACGGGUGAGUAAUGCAUCGGAACGUACCCGGAAGUGGGGGAUAACGUAGCGAAAGUUACGCUAAUACCGCAUAUUCUGUGAGCAGGAAAGUGGGGGAUCGCAAGACCUCGCGCUUCCGGAGCGGCCGAUGUCGGAUUAGCCAGUUGGCGGGGUAAAGGCCCACCAAGGCAACGAUCCGUAGCGGGUCUGAGAGGAUGAUCCGCCACACUGGGACUGAGACACGGCCCAGACUCCUACGGGAGGCAGCAGUGGGGAAUUUUGGACAAUGGGGGCAACCCUGAUCCAGCCAUGCCGCGCGAGUGAAGAGGGCCUUCGGGUUGUAAAGCUCUUUCGGCCGGGAAGAAAUCGCACAGGUUAAUACCUUGUGUGGAUGACGGUACCGGAAUAAGAAGCACCGGCUAACUACGUGCCAGCCGCCGCCGUAAAAC
rnacentral:rRNA from 1 species